UACGUAGGGUGCAAACGUUGCUCGGAAUUAUUGGGCGUAAAGCGCACGUAGGCGGCUUUGCAAGUCGGAUGUGAAAUCCCUCGGCUUAACCAAGGAAGUGCAUCCGAAACUGCAGAGCUUGAGUACUUAAGAGGAUCGCGGAAUUCCCGGUGUAGAGGUGAAAUUCGUAGAUAUCGGGAGGAACACCAGUGGCGAAGGCGGCGAUCUGGGAAGAUACUGACGCUGAGGUGCGAAAGCGUGGGGAGCAAACAGG
rnacentral:rRNA from 1 species